UUUGAAAUCUGGCUUCGGCCCGAGUUGUAAUUUGCAGAGGAUGUUUCUGGCGCGGUGCCUUCCGAGUUCCCUGGAACGGGACGCCACAGAGGGUGAGAGCCCCGUAUGGUUGGACACCAAGCCUGUGUGAAACUCCUUCGACGAGUCGAGUAGUUUGGGAAUGCUGCUCAAAAUGGGAGGUAAAUCUCUUCUAAAGCUAAAUACCGGCCAGAGACCGAUAGCGCACAAGUAGAGUGAUCGAAAGAUGAAAAGCACCUUGAAAAGGGGGUUAAACAGUACGUGAAAUUGUUGAAAGGGAAGCGCUUGUGACCAGACUUGUGCCGGGCGGCUCAUCCGGGGUUCUCCCCGGUGCACUCCGCCCGGCUCAGGCCAGCAUCGGUUUUCGUUGGGGGAUAAGAACGGCAGGAACGUGGCCCUCCUUCGGGUGGGUGUUAUAGCCUGCCGUACGAUACCCUGACGGGGACCGAGGUUCGCGCUCCGCAAGGAUGCUGGCGUAAUGGUCAUCAGCGACCCGUCUUGAAACACGGACCAAGGAGUCGUCCAUUAGAGCGAGCGUUUGGGUGUCAAACCCGCACGCGUAA
rnacentral:rRNA from 1 species